GGUUGAGUUUAAAACGGAAGAAAAUAGAAAAUCCACGCAAACAUGUUUGUAUCGUUAGCUACGACCGUCUUCCUUCUUACAUUUAUUUCUCUGGGUCGCGUCCAGAAGACUGACGUAACCUUUUACUUGUUCACCUCGGAAAACAGGGAAACCGCCACCGAAAUUACGAAAGAAAAUGCCACCGUAGACGGCAACUCUUCCCUCGUUUUCCUCAUACACGGUUGGCGUGAAAGCAGGGAGAAACCUUGGUACUCUGACUUAACCGAUACGCUGUUGUCUAAAUUCGACGAAAUUAACGUCAUUCAAGUGGACUGGUCCAAGCCAGCUCUACAGUUUUAUCCAGCCGCAGCUUACGACACCAAAGAAACUGGAAAUAUAGUUGGUAGUUUGAUUCUGGAUCUUGUGGUGAAUCGUGGAGUAAACGUGGAGAACGUACAUCUAAUAGGUCACUCUUUGGGUGGUCACGUUGCCGGAUUCGCAGGCAAAUACCUUCAAAAGUUUGGCUUCAAACUGUCAAAAAUUACAGCACUAGAUGCUGCGGGACCCUUGUUUCGAGGUUUUUGGGUUUCAGAAGCUUCUAGAUUGAGUAAGACCGACGCGGAAGUGGUGGUGGCCAUACAUACAGAUCCCUGGAAGUUCGGGUAUUUGGUUUCUUUUGGUUCUGUCGACAUUUACGUGAACGGGCGUCCGCUUAUCCAACCCGGUUGUCCAGAUACUGCGGAGCUUAACUGGCUCGUUUGUAGUCACCAAAGAAGUCAUCAAAUUUACAUAGAUGCCUUGCAGAAAUUUGGAACACUCGUGGCUACACGUUGUUGGAGCUAUCUGGGUUUGCUCUUUGGCUGGUGUCAACGGAACAAGCAGGUUGAUCUGGGGGGUGAAUUCAAAUAUGACGAACGGGGCGAAUAUUAUUUGAAAACUCACUUCAAGAAACCGUAUGGAUUGGGGCCGUAAUUCUUGCAAGAACGAAUACGGGCAUGCGCGUAUUUUUUCAUUUAUUGUUAGUACUAGCAAAAAUCUAGAUUCUAGAAACUGUUUCUAUUCUCUUUAGUUAUUUUCCUGUAGGAAACAAAGAUCUGAAAGGGAGCUAUUUUAAAAGUUCACGUUCGAAACAGUAUUCGAGAGUCGAAAAAUAAAAUAAGGCAUAUUCUGAAUCCAUUUAUUCCAUAAAAUUAUUUCCAUUAUAAUUUCUUAAACGAAUCUAUUUUUCAAUUAUUCGCCUGCAGGAAUCAACGAUUUGAAUGGGGGUUCUGAAUUCGUUUUCAAGUAGUACCUCCCUUCGCCUUCGACAGUAAUAUCCCCGCCAAGGUCAAUUAUUCUACUAUUAUUGCAUUUCCCAUUUUUGAAAUUAUUGUUGCUCUUACAUUUUUCCGCUAAUAUAGUUCCCGGCCGAGCAGUGGCGUUCGUAAAAUAUUGCCAGCUUCGCGCAUGACUACAAGAAACUAAAAGUUUGUAUUAAUAUAUUGUUCGAUUUCGUUACCUACAGAUGCCGAUGAGAAAUGGGCACCCCGGUUGUGGCCCUACUCCACCGUUUGGAUAGACGUCGGUGGUACCAACAUCUCCGAAAUUACCCAAGACGUUGCGAUCGGAAUGUAUAGCAAAUACCACAACAGCAUGACUUCUAUUAAGGCUUCUGCCAUUUAACUUGAACAGUUCAAAUAGUGGUCCUGCUGGAUCUAGAGCCGUAAUUUUUGACAAUUUUCGUGAUGUUUUCUCUAUGAUACGUUCUCCAGCAUAUCCUGCAACUUGACCCCCGAUAGAAUGACCAAUAAGCUCGAUAUUAGCUAGUGGAUAUCCUGCUUUUGUUAUGUUUAAAAUGAAGUCUGCGAUUUGUACACCUAGCAAAAGAACAGUUUGUUUGGAGAAACAAAAAACAAGAUCCUCUUUCUUACCGACUUCGGGGCUUUUUUUAGCCACGAGUAUAUAAUUUUUUUUAGCGAGCUCCGAGAAGUCCACUUGAAUGAUGUAAAAUUUGCCGCGUGAAAAAAGUGCUUUCUUUAAUAAGGGAUAAAACGGUGAUUCUCGACUACCAGUCCAGCCGUGAAUGAAAAUUCGAACUGGAUAAUCACGUUGGACGUACCUGCUGGCGUUGUUGGGGCCAAUUAAAAUAGGUUCAUUUUGAUGUUCAGGGCUAUAUAAGAAAUAUUGGAUACGGUACGAAUUGACAGCAGUCGCUAAAAUAAAAAAUAACACAGACAAGUACAUUUUGCACUGUUAUUUUUCAAUUAGCCAUCCGCUAUAUAUAGAUAUCGGUUUAAAAAAUCUGGAAUUUAGAAAGAUAGUACCAGCAAAUACUUGACGAUCUUCACAUAGUUUCACGUCAAAAUGUUUUGAUAAUGUAUGCAUGUUAAAUUUCUCACGUUAACAGUACUUAUAAUUUAUAACUUAUGCACUGCCUUCUGGAAAAUUUAUUUGUUUGUUUUUUUCCUCAUGCAAUGGAAUACUAAUCAUGGAACGGAAGUUUUUAUUUUUCUCAAGUCAGCAAAGUUAUGCGUUGAGAUUUGAGAUUGAGAACUAAA